rnacentral:lncRNA from 1 species
UGAUUUAAGAUUUGGUUAGGAUUAGGAUUUGGUUAUGAUUAGGAUUAGGAUUUUGGAUUUGAUUUAAGGUUUGAUUUAUGUUAGAAUUUGGUCAAGAUUUAUCUAAGAUUUGAUUACGAUUUGUUUGAGGUUUGGUUAAGGCUUAUUUAGGGUUUGUCUAGGAUUUGACUAGGAUUUAUUAGGUUUUUAUUAGAAUUUAUUUAGGAUUUUAUUAGGAUUUUAUGAUGAUUUAAUUAGGAUUUAUUUAAGAUUUGAUUAGAAUUUGAUAAGGAUUUGAUUAAGAUUUGACUAAGAUUUGACUAGAAUUUGAUUAGGGCUUAUUUAAGAUUUGUCUAGGAUUUGACUAUGAUUUAUUUAGGAUUUGAUUAGGAUUUGGUUAGAAUUUGUUUAGAAUUUGAUUAGGAUUUAAUUAGGAUUUUUCUAAAGUUUGGUUAGAGCUUAUUUAAGGAUUGACUAGGAUUUGACAAAGAUUUGACUAGAUUUUGACUGAGAUUUAAUUAAGAUUUUAUUUUAAUAUUUUAUUAAGAUUUCUAUUUUAGAAUAUAUAUUUUUGAAUUUCUAUGUUAUUCUUUUAUGAUUUCUUUAAAGGAUCUCUAAGAAUUUUUUGUAUUUUUUAUAUAAUUCUUUUAUAAUUUUUAAUUAAAUUUGAUUGAUGUUUGAUUUAAUUUUCUAAUAUUUAAUUAUAAUUUAUUUAAGAAUCUAUUAGAGUUGUGAAGACUUAUUGCAAUUUUUUGUUUAUCUUCUAUAGCCAUAUGUCCAGUACAUUUUCAAGCCAAACGCCAUGUAAUAAGACAAUGAUGUCGUGUUGUAACACAAAUAUAUGGUAAAAAUAUAAAUAAAAAAGAUUUUAUUAAUAUUUAGUUAUCUUGGUUGAUAAGAGCUCAAGACAAUUUGAGAAGGCUUUAUAAAAGCUUUUAGAGUAUUUUCUUGUCUUGAUAGCUAGUAGCUAAAAGCUUGUCAUUGAAUUUUCUUUCUAGAUUUUAGAAACUAUUUUAUCACUUUAGAAAGUCCAUAAAU